ensembl:processed_transcript 5530601H04Rik RIKEN cDNA 5530601H04 gene
GAACUUCACCCGCGGUACAGUACGGCCUGAGAAUUUUGUUCCAGCACCGGUGUGAGGAAAACAUCUGAGCCCAUGAAUUGCCAGACCCUGGAUACCUGAGACACAUCCACUUGCUUCUCAGGUUUGGAGUGCAUAAUGAGGAGAAAUAAACACAGAAAGAUCUCCAGAAAGAAGCCAUGGGUGGAGAACAGAGGGCGACUAGAUUAAAUGGAAAGAAUGCCCAGGCAUCCCAUUGCCUCCCUUUGAUGUUCCAGAACUUCGUCAAGACAGUGAUGAGCUACAUGUACACCUGGAGGAGGACCAUGCAGAAUACCAUCCAGCGCCAUGAACACUAGUCAGUCAGUCAGUAAUGGUGAACUUCUCGUUGUGCUCCAGCUCAAUUUUCUCAUGUUUGAUGAUAGUUCAGGAUCAAGCUCAGAAGCGCACAGCUGCCAGCAAGCAGUCUACUACUGAACUGCACCAUCUCUCCAGCCUGUGCUUACUCUUGAAUAGCCCCAAAGUAGUCAAUGGUAUGGCUAAAUAAACCUCCAUUUCAUUUAGAUUUUUAUAGUAUUUUUUGCCACUUAAAUUAUUUUAUGUAGUUGAGUAUGAUUUUUUUUCCCCCUAAGGAAUUCUAUGUAUCUCAAUUUCAAGAGUCUUCAGCCUUUAUGUUAUACAUAAUUUCCUAUAGAUUUCAAAGUUGCUUUAAUAAAAAGUUUAAUGUUAAAA